GAUGUGUUGAAUAGCUCGGAUGGGGACAUAAGGGUUGUGAAGUUUGGAGCGGGCAAGUUACAUCACAGCUCAAGAUCCAAAUUGACAACGUAAUUCAAGAAAUGUUCACAAGGAAACCUCAACG